GACGAACGCUGGCGGCGUGCUUAACACAUGCAAGUCGAACGGAAAGGCCCUGCUUGCAGGGUGCUCGAGUGGCGAACGGGUGAGUAACACGUGGGUGAUCUGCCCCUUACUUUGGGAUAAGCCUGGGCAACUGGGUCUAAUACUGGAUAGGACCAUGCUGUAGGUGGUGUGGUGGAAAGAUUAGUUUCGGUAAGGGAUGAGCUCGCGGACUAUCAGCUUGUUGGUGGGGUAAUGGCCUACCAAGGCGUCGACGGGUAGCCGGCCAGAGAGGGUGGGCGGCCACAUUGGGACUGAGAUACGGCGCAGAAUCAUGCGGGAGGCAGCAGUGGGGAAUAGUGUGAAAUAGGAGCACGCCUGAUGCAGCGACGCCGCGUGGGGGGUGAAGGCCUUCGGGUUGUAAACUACUUUCGGCCAUGACGAAGCCCUUGUGGUGACGGUAGUGGUAGAAGAAGCACCGGCUAACUACGUG
rnacentral:rRNA from 1 species